rnacentral:lncRNA from 1 species
GGGCUCGAACCACCAACCUUUCGGUUAACAGCCGAACGCGCUAACCGAUUGCGCCACAGAGACAGGUACUGUCAGUUCUACUGGGCGCUAUAGGAAGGGCGCACGCACGAAACUUCCUCCGUCCCUUGCAUCCUCAGGGCCCGCCCGGCAGGACGACUGAGCAGGCCUUGGAAGACCGGAGAGAUUGGAGCGAAUGGGGAGGAAUUGAGGGGAAAAUGGAGAUAGAACCUGAAAGAGCCCCAAACGCCAGAACCUGUAGCUCCCCAAGAAUAAGAUCUUCCAGAAGAACUAGACCCAAAACUAGCCGUUGGGGAACACCGAAAUCCUUGGAGGAGCAACAUCCGCAUGACCCUCUGUGUUCCUUUAGGCAAAAGGACUUGCUUCCAUUGUUUGUUCAAUUGUUUGUGUUUGUUAAAUAAAUAAAACGAUUUUCAUGUAUCUUUGAAAUUACUUUGGCGCUACUAUUUUAUGAUUGCAA